CCAGAGAAUUUAGCAGAGAUGCUUUAGUGCCUUCGGGAACUCUGAGACAGGUGCUGCAUGGCUGUCGUCAGCUCGUGUUGUGAAAUGUUGGGUUAAGUCCCGCAACGAGCGCAACCCUUAUCCUUUGUUGCCAGCACGUAAUGAUGGGAACUCAAAGGAGACUGCCGGUGAUAAACCGGAGGAAGGUGGGGAUGACGUCAAGUCAUCAUGGCCCUUACGAGUAGGGCUACACACGUGCUACAAUGGCGCAUACAAAGAGAAGCGACCUCGCGAGAGCAAGCGGACCUCAUAAAGUGCGUCGUAGUCCGGAUUGGAGUCUGCAACUCGACUCCAUGAAGUCGGAAUCGCUAGUAAUCGUAAAUCAGAAUGUUACGGUGAAUACGUUCCCGGGCCUUGUACACACCGCCCGUCACACCAUGGGAGUGGGUUGCAAAAGAAGUAGAUAGCUUAACCUUCGGGAGGGCGUUUACCACUUUGUGAUUCAUGACUGGGGUGAAGUCGUAACAAGGUAGGCGUAGUGCU
rnacentral:rRNA from 1 species